rnacentral:rRNA from 1 species
AUUGAACGCUGGCGGAAUGCUUUACACAUGCAAGUCGAACGGCAGCACGGACUUCGGUCUGGUGGCGAGUGGCGAACGGGUGAGUAAUAUAUCGGAACGUGCCCAGUCGUGGGGGAUAACGUAGCGAAAAUUACGCUAAUACCGCAUACGAUCUAAGGAUGAAAGCGGGGGAUCGCAAGACCUCGCGCGAUUGGAGCGGCCGAUAUCAGAUUAGGUAGUUGGUGAGGUAAAGGCUCACCAAGCCAACGAUCUGUAGCUGGUCUGAGAGGACGACCAGCCACACUGGAACUGAGACACGGUCCAGACUCCUACGGGAGGCAGCAGUGGGGAAUUUUGGACAAUGGACGCAAGUCUGAUCCAGCCAUUCCGCGUGCAGGACGAAGGCCUUCGGGUUGUAAACUGCUUUUGUACAGAACGAAAAGGUCUCUAUUAAUACUAGGGGCUCAUGACGGUACUGUAAGAAUAAGCACCGACUAACUACGUGCCAGCCGCCGCCGUAA